rnacentral:rRNA from 1 species
AGAGUUUGAUCCUGGCUCAGAAUCAACGCUGGCGGCGUGCCUAACACAUGCAAGUCGAACGAGAAAGCUGGUAGCAAUACCGGUGAGUAAAGUGGCGCACGGGUGAGUAACACGUGGAUAACCUGCCUUCGAGUGGGGAAUAACCCUGGGAAACCGGGGCUAAUACCGCAUGACAUCUCUGGACGAUGUUCGGAGAUUGAAAUUCGAAAGAAGCUCGAAGAGGGGUCCGCGGCUGAUUAGCUAGUUGGUGAGGUAAUGGCCCACCAAGGCUAUGAUCGGUAGCCGGCCUGAGAGGGCGGACGGCCACACUGGAACUGAAACACGGUCCAGACUCCUACGGGAGGCAGCAGUGGGGAAUUUUGCGCAAUGGGGGAAACCCUGACGCAGCAACGCCGCGUGGACGAUGAAGCAUCUUGGUGUGUAAAGUCCUUUCGGCAGGGACGAAUAAAUGACGGUACCUGCAGAAGAAGCCCCGGCUAACUCCGUGCCAGCAGCCGCGGUAAUACGGGGGGGGCAAGCGUUGUUCGGAAUUAUUGGGCGUAAAGGGCGCGUAGGCGGUGUGGCAAGUCAGGUGUGAAACCUUCAGGCUCAACUUGGAGCUUGCAUCUGAAACUGCCGUGCUAGAGUGUGGGAGAGGAGAGUGGAAUUCCUGGUGUAGCGGUGAAAUGCGUAGAUUUCAGGAGGAACACCGGUGGCGAAGGCGGCUCUCUGGACCACAACUGACGCUAGGCGCGAAAAGCUAGGGGGAGCAAACAGGGAUUAGAUACCCUUGGUAGUCCCUAGCUGUUAAACUAUUGAACACUUUGGUAUAGCGGGUUCGAAUUCCCGCCGUUGCCCGGAGCUUAACGCAUUUAGUUGUUUCCGCCUUGGGGGGACGUUACCGGGCCCCAAGGCUGAAACUCAAAAGGAAUUUGACGGGGGCCCGCACAAAGCGGUGGAGCAUGUGUUUUAAUUGACGCAACGCGAAGAACCUUACCUGGGCUCGAAAUGCAAUGGAAGUCGGCUGAAAGGUCGGCGCCCGCAAGGGCCGUUGUAUAGGUGCUGCAUGGCUGUCGUCAGCUCGUGUCGUGAGAUGUUGGGUUAAGUCCCGCAACGAGCGCAACCCUUAUCUUUAGUUGCCAUGCCGAAAGGCGGAACUCUAAAGAGACAGCCGGCCACAAGCCGGAGGAAGGUGGGGAUGACGUCAAGUCCUCAUGGCCUUUAUGUCCAGGGCUACACACGUGCUACAAUGGGCGGUACAAAGCGCAGCAAACCCGCGAGGGGGAGCCAAUCGCAAAAAACCGCUCUCAGUUCGGAUUGCAGUCUGCAACUCGGCUGCAUGAAGCUGGAAUCGCUAGUAAUCGCGGAUCAGCACGCCGCGGUGAAUACGUUCCCGGGCCUUGUACACACCGCCCGUCACAUCACGAAAGCAGGUUGCACUAGAAGUCGUUGAGCUGACCGCAAGCGAGGCCAGCGCCCAAGGUGUGGCUUGUGGUUGGGGUGAAGUCGGUAACAAGGUAGCUGUAGGAGAACCUGUGGCUGGAUCACCUCC